UACGUAGGUGGCAAGCGUUGUCCGGAAUUAUUGGGCGUAAAGCGCGCGCAGGUGGUUCCUUAAGUCUGAUGUGAAAGCCCCCGGCUCAACCGGGGAGGGUCAUUGGAAACUGGGGAACUUGAGUGCAGAAGAGGAUAGUGGAAUUCCAAGUGUAGCGGUGAAAUGCGUAGAGAUUUGGAGGAACACCAGUGGCGAAGGCGACUGUCUGGUCGGUAACUGACACUGAGGCGCGAAAGCGUGGGGAGCAAACAGG
rnacentral:rRNA from 1 species